rnacentral:rRNA from 1 species
GUAGGUGGCAAGCGUUGUCCGGAAUUAUUGGGCGUAAAGCGCGCGCAGGCGGUUCUUUAAGUCUGAUGUGAAAGCCCACGGGCUCAACCGUGGAGGGUCAUUGGAAACUGGAGAACUUGAGUACAGAAGAGGAAAGCGGAAUUCCGCGUGUAGCGGUGAAAUGCGUAGAGAUGUGGAGGAACACCAGUGGCGAAGGCGGCUUUCUGGUCUGUAACUGACGCUGAGGCGCGAAAGCGUGGGGAGCAAACAGGAUUAGAUACCCUGGUAGUCCACGCCGUAAACGAUGAGUGCUAAGUGUUAGGGGGUUUCCGCCCCUUAGUGCUGCAGCUAACGCAUUAAGCACUCCGCCUGGGGAGUACGGCCGCAAGGCUG